UUUAGGUUUAGGUUAAGGUUGAGGUUUAGGUUAUAGGUUAAGGUUUUAGGUCAUAGGUUUUGGUUUAGGUUAAGGUUAUAGAUUUAGGUUAAGGUUUAGGUUUAGUUUUAGGUUUAGGUUUAGGUUUAGGUUAUAAGGUAUAGGUUUAGGGAAUUGAGAAUAGGUUAAGGUUUAGGUUUACGAAAUUGGGUUCGGGUUCGGGAUCGGGUUUAGGUUUGGGUUUUUAAGUUUGGGUUUAGGUUUAGGUUAGGGAGUUGAGAUUAGGAUUAGGUGUAGGUUUAGGUUUAGGGAUUUGAGAAUACAUUUAGGUUUUGGUUUUAGGUUUAGUUUUAGAUUAUAGGUUAAGGUUUAGGGUAAGGUUAGGUUAGAGGUUAUAAGUUUAGGUUAUAGGUUAUAGGUUAAGGUUUUAGGUCAUAGGUUUUGGUUUAGGUUAAGGUUAUAGGUUUAGGUUAAGGUUUUAGGUCAUAGGUUUUGGUUUAGGUUAAGGUUAUAGGUUUAGGCUAAGGUUUUAGGUCAUAGGUUUUGGUUUAGGUUAAGGUUAUAGGUUUAGGUUAAGGUUUAGGUUUAGGUUUAGG